CAGCAGCCACGGUAAUACGAAGGGGGCUAGCGUUGUUCGGAAUUACUGGGCGUAAAGCGCACGUAGGCGGAUAUUUAAGUCAGGGGUGAAAUCCCAGAGCUCAACUCUGGAACUGCCUUUGAUACUGGGUAUCUUGAGUAUGGAAGAGGUGAGUGGAAUUCCGAGUGUAGAGGUGAAAUUCGUAGAUAUUCGGAGGAACACCAGUGGCGAAGGCGGCAACCUGGUCCAUGACUGACGCUGAGGCGCGAAAGCGUGGGGAGCAAACAGGAUUAGAUACCCCGGUAGUCCCUGUCUCUUAUAC
rnacentral:rRNA from 1 species